rnacentral:rRNA from 1 species
AGACGAACCGGGCGAACGUUAUUCGGAAUCACUGGGCUUAAAGCGUGCGUAGGCGGCUUGGCAAGUUGGGUGUGAAAGCCCUCGGCUUAACCGAGGAACUGCGCCCAAAACUGCCAGGCUUGAGGGAGAUAGAGGUGAGUGGAACUAAUGGUGGAGCGGUGAAAUGUUUUGAUAUCAUUAGGAACACCGGUGGCGAAAGCGGCUCACUGGGUCUCUUCUGACGCUGAGGCACGAAAGCUAGGGGAGCGAACGGGAUUAGAAACCCUAGUAGUCC